CUUUUGAGCAGUGCAUGGUGGUGUAUUUCGAGUGGUUUUCAAAUGAAGGAGGAAUAUUUGUUGCAUGAUACCUGACCCAGUGAAGUGAGGGAUAAUGGGACACCACUCCUCUGACAGCUAGGAGGACAGCCAUAGCAGGAGGAAGAAGAAGGAAAAUCACGGAAGGUGCUCCUAUUCCUCAAGCUCCUCCGGCAGCCAGGUGACCAGCCACAGAAAGAGGUCCAGCAGCUGCUCCAAAGACAUAGACAAGAGACGCAGGCGGCCGUCCAACAGCAGCUCGUCCCGAAGGAGGAGGGAGCGGAGAUGGAGACCGAGGCAGGACCAACCGCUCCCAUAGGACAUGCAGCCGUACCCGCAGGUCUCGUGAGCGGCGGCGUUCUCGCAGCAGGAGCAGCGGCCGGUCCAGCCGCAAGAAGAGCCGCAGCCACAGCCGAGACCGCAGCCGGCUGAAGGGCCGAGACAAGGGCAGGGACUGAGACAAGGGCAGGGACUGAGACAAGGGCCGGGACUGAGACAAGGGCCGGGACCGAGACAAGGACAGAGCCAAAGCCAAGAGGUCCGACAAACAAGGAAUACACAGACGGACGGGACGGGACAGACGGGACGACCGACCGACCGGAUGGACCGACCGGAUGGACCGGGACAGGCGGACGGACGGACGGGACGGACCGACGGGUUUCAUAACGGUAUCAUCAUCCGGCUCUGAAAGAGGAAGGCCAGGCCUCUUCAGAAAUGCUUCUCCCUUUGAAACACCAAAUGAACAACACCCCUUGAUAAACAGCUAUUAUAAAGGUUAUUCCCGGGAUGGAGAGAGGAUUAAGCGAAUGCAGUGAGGGACAGUGCCAGCAUCAAAGCAGCAUGAGAACAUCUGAUGAUUCAAAGUAGCCACCCUUUUCCUUGAUGACAGCUCUGCACAUUCUUGGCAUUCUCUCAACCACCAUCAUGAGGUAGUCACCUGGAAUGCAUUUCAAUUAACAGACACCUGCAGAACAGGCCAAGGCUCAACUCCAGCUGGUGUUGCAGCCAUAACGGAUGAGGUACUGAAAGCCAAGAAGAGGAAGGACGAGGAGGCCAAGAAGAUGAAGGUUAUUGUCCUGCUGAAAGGUGAAUGAAUCUCCCAGUGUCUGGAGGAAAGCAGACUGAACCAGGUUUUCCUCUAGGAUUUUGCUUGUGCUCAACUCCAUUCCGUUUAUUUUCUAUCCUGAAAAACUCCCCAGUCCUUAACGAUUAUAAGGCUACUCAUAACAUGAUGCAGCCACCACUAUGCUUGAAAAUAUGGAGCGUGGUACUCAGUAAUGUUACUGUUUUAAAAUCACAAUUGGCCUCAUGGUGAAACCCUGAGCGGUUUCACCAUGAGAGGCUGAAAGAGCUUGACCAUUCCAAGGCAUCUGACCUUAUCUGUCAGGAAUGUUGUUUUCUAUAGGAUGCUGCGGUAAUUAUCACCCCCUGUGAUAAUGUUUUGUGAAUCUGUCUAUUGAAGGGAAUAUAUUAGAUCAUGGAAACUAUCUGCAUGUCUCAAUCCUGUGUGCUUUAUCGAAGGUCAUGGAAAAGAUUAUAUUCAAGCAGAUUGACAGUUAUAUUUCCUUGCAUAACCUAUUCUAUGAGCUCCAAUCUGGCUUCAGGAAAUCCCAUUCCACUGACACCUGCCUACUAUAUCUGACAGACCACAUAAGAAAGGAAGUAGAUGGAGGGAAAUUUUGUGGUAUGGUUAUGUUAGUUCUCCAAAAGGUGUUCGAUACAGUGGAUCGUGAGAUUCUGUUAAUCAAACUAAGAGCCAUGGGCUUUAACAACUUAGCAGUAAAAUGGGUCACCUCUUACCUGCAAGGAAGAAAACAGAUGGUGGAUGUGACCCUGUCUAAACACCAAAUCGUGAACUGUGGUGUACCCCAAGGGAGUUUGCUGGGUCCACAUUUACUUAUAUUGUAUAUAAAUGAUCUGAAAUCUGCCUGUACAUGUGACCUUUUCCUAUAUGCAGAUUAUUCUGCACUGUUGGUUUCCCACAAAGACAAAAAUGUGGUUGAAAGAGCCCUCGGUGCUGAAUUUUUUUAAAUGUACCUUUAUUUAACUAGGCAAGUCAGUUAAGAACAAAUACUUAUUUUCAAUGACAGCCUAGGAAUAGUGGGUUAACUGCCUUGUUCAGGGUCAGAACGACAGAUUUGUACCUUGGCAGCUCGGGGGUUCGAACUUGCAACCUUUUGGUUACUAGCCCAACACUCUAACCACUAGGCUACCCUGCCGCCCCAUGUCAGUAAAUGGCUAUAUGACAAUAAGCUGUCACUUCACCUUGGAAAACAGAGUCCAUCUUGUUCGGGUCCAAAUUCAAACUGAGGAAAUCCCCAGAUUUUAAGGUGGUAGUAGGUGGCAUAGUAGUCGCAGCAAAAGACUGUUAAGUAUCUUGGAUAUGUGCUAGAUAACCAUCUCUGACAGGGGAGAGCAUGGCACAAAAUGUUAUCGCCAAAGUGAACCAUAAAAUUAGGUUCCUGGCUAGAACCUUCAAAUAUCUGGAUAAGAAUCCAAUGGGGACAUUGGCAGGGGCUCUUGUUCAGUGCCACUUCGACUAUGCAUGCUCUUCCUGGUAAAAUAGUGCCCUCAGGAUAUUAAAAAAUACAUUUGCAGACAUCUCAGAACAAAUUAGUCUGGAUUAUUCUUAAACUUCCAGCACUUACGCAUCUUGACUAUUCCCACUUUGAAAGCCUUAGAUGGCUUAAAGUGGACGAGAGAGUUGCUCAGAUAAAAUUGUGUCUUGUACAUCAGAUUGUCCACAAUAUAGUCCCCAGAUACUUAUGUAACUACUUUAACUUAGUAAGGGAUAACCAAAACUAUUAAACUAGAAGGAGGGACUUGGAUUAAAUUUAGAUUUAAAAGUGGUAUGGGGAAACAAACAUUUUUAUAGUCUGUUGCCAUCCUUUGGAAUAAUCUUACAAAGAAUUUGAAACGUAAAACCUCUAUAGGUAGUUUCAAGUUCUCACUGAAACAAUUGCUAAAUAGUAGCAUGUCUCAAAUGUGAGUGGUAAGAUUAAAGUAGGUGGUGGAGAGGGAAAUGCCCAGGAUAGCAUGUGGUCUGCCUUUUUGGUGCCUGUUGUUUAUUAUAAUGUGAUUGUCUUGUGUGCAUAUUAGGGAUUGAUUGUUUAUAUAUUAAGGGUAUGUGAGACAAGGAAGAUGUACCUGUCUGUAGAUGUUUAUUGGGAACAUUAUCGGUUUCUGUGAAACAAACAAAAAUUGUGUCUGUCAUUGUCAGUUGUCAUUACACUCGCCGCCUAACCUUGUUGUAUUCCCCCUUCCCCUUUCCUUCUUCAAAAGGACCACAAUGGAAAUAAGCUGUUAAGCUUUAUUGUGUUAUCCUUGAUGAUUUUCUUAAAUUGAAUGUGGAGGCGUCACCAGCUGGAGCCCCCUUAUGUAUGGGUUUUUACAAAUUGUCAAAUAAAUUCAAUCAAUCAAU